UAGUAACUGCGAGUGAAGCGGGAAAAGCUCAAAUUUAAAAUCUGGCGGUCUUUGGCCGUCCGAGUUGUAGUCUGGAGAAGUGCUUUCCGCGCUGGACCGUGUACAAGUCUCUUGGAACAGAGCGUCAUAGAGGGUGAGAAUCCCGUCUUUGACACGGACUACCAGUGCUUUGUGAUGCGCUCUCAAAGAGUCGAGUUGUUUGGGAAUGCAGCUCAAAAUGGGUGGUGAAUUCCAUCUAAAGCUAAAUAUUGGCGAGAGACCGAUAGCGAACAAGUACCGUGAGGGAAAGAUGAAAAGCACUUUGGAAAGAGAGUUAAACAGUACGUGAAAUUGCUGAAAGGGAAACGCUUGAAGUCAGUCGCGUUGUCCAGAACUCAGCCUUGCUUCGGCUUGGUGCAUUUUCUGGGCGACGGGCCAGCAUCGAUUUUGACCGUCGGAAAAGGGUUGAAGGAAUGUGGCACCUUCGGGUGUGUUAUAGCCUUCAGCCGCAUACGACGGUUGGGAUCGAGGAACGCAGCGCGCCUUAUGGCUGGGGUUCGCCCACAUUCGCGCUUAGGAUGCUGGCAUAAUGGCUUUAAACGACCCGUCUUGAAACACGGACCAAGGAGUCUAACAUGCCUGCGAGUGUUUGGGUGGAAAACCCGAGCGCGUAAUGAAAGUGAAAGUUGAGACCUCUGUCGUGGAGGGCAUCGACGCCCGGACCUGACGUUCUCUGACGGAUCCGCGGUAGAGCAUGUAUGUUGGGACCCGAAAGAUGGUGAACUAUGCCUGAAUAGGGUGAAGCCAGAGGAAACUCUGGUGGAGGCUCGUAGCGAUUCUGACGUGCAAAUCGAUCGUCAAAUUUGGGUAUAGGGGCGAAAGACUAAUCGAACCAUCUAGUAGCU
rnacentral:rRNA from 1 species